GCACCGGGGACGGGACGGGACCGAGCGGCGGGGCCGCGGGUUGGCGGCGGUGGGGCCCCGGGGAGGCCGGGCCCCCUAAGGCGAGGAGGAGGAAGGAUAGGGAGACCCCCAGCUGGGACCUGGAACUGGUGUUUCUGGGAAGAGUGAGAAUAAGUGACUGAAACGUGGAAAGCCGGCAGUCAGUGUUCGCUAUUGUUUCCUGCGUUGGGCUUUUGAUGAUGGAAAACUCCCUGAGGGGAAAAGAACAAAACAAAACAAAACAAUCCCAGGGCAGCAAAGAAUCUUGAGCAAGAGGCUAUUUUUGGCUGAAAGUUUAGAAUAAGAACUUUUGAUCAGUUCUGUGAUUGUACAGCUUGGAAUAGGAAGAUGACUGUUUCUAAGGCGAAAAGAAAAAAAAAAAAAGAACUUGAGAGCUGUGAUUCACAGACUUUACUGCUGUCUACGAAUGUUCGUGCUGGGUCUGCUCUCAGCUGCCUGCAGUGGUGACACCUGGCUCUUCGUGGGGCUGGUGGCCUUCCCAAAACAUCCCCUGGACGACGUCCAGAGGCUGGGAGACACUGAUGGUUUGGGAAGGAACCUCUCCAAGAGAACUCCUUCGGCUGUUCCUUUUACCACUGUUAACGAUGUUCUGCACCAUUCUUCAUGGCUCAGAAGCGCAGCGUGGCACACUUUGAUCAAAAUGCAAGCACAGAAGUAUCUGCAAGAUUUGGGCUUGGGGAUGCUUCUACAAAUAUUUCUAGUUGGUGUGGAUGUUGCAUUGCAAUCACAUCAUAACCGUACCACUGAGCACAUUUUUCAUAAGCACGCCUGGCAAGGCAAAGUUCCUGCUGAAACUGUUUUCUGGAGACAGGGAUGACACUUUUAGGUGUGACCUGCACCUAGGCCUUUCAUCCUCUUUUUUAGAUGGGAGGAGGUGCUAAGCAGUCUGUGUGAAAGGCCUGAAGCACACGAAAUGAGGUAUGGUUAGGAAGAAAUUACAAAUAUUUGUGUAUAGAAUCAUAGGAUAUCCCAAGUUGGGCAUCUGUCAUGUGAUCUACAUGGUCAGCUACAUACACACCUUAAGAAAAACAAAUGCUAGAGAGAUACCUCUGGCAAUGCUGUUGGUGACCAGUUUUCCAGUAGUCUACAGGAUGAGAUUUGUUUUUGGAGCUAGAAAGAGCCCUGACAUUUCUCAUAUUCUAAUGUUUUAUUUUCUGUGCUUCCCUCUUGUAAUGUAGUUUUUAAAGGCACUGAAUAUAGCACGUGUCCACUUCUUCAAAAUAAAGUACAUGAAAUUUCAGAGCAAUUUUUGCAUUGAUAAGCCAAGUAUGUCCAGGGAGGGCAUCAAAUACAUUUUCAGGAGUGAUUUUUUUCCCUGUCAAAAAUGGAAAACUUUGGAGAGGUGAGGUGGUUUAAAAAAGGAGGAAAAACAAAUCUCUGUGUUGGGAUCAUGUAAACAUGUAGCAUUGACCAAGGUUAGCUCUGAGGGGGAAGAUGACUGCAGCCAUUUAAGAAAAAUGGGGGAAAAUAGCCUCAAGUCCAGCCGUAAAAUAAGGCUAAAAUUGCAUAAAUACCUCCUCCACUAUGUAACACAGCAGCCUGGUUGUUCUUUCAGCCAUACUGAAAGAACAAGACACUGUUUCUCCAGAAAUUUAUGAGGAAGAUAUGAUGGAGUGAUGCUUAAUUAUACCGACCAAGGACAAGACUUUGUGUAGUUGUAGGAUGUCUCUGCUGUGGCAGUCAGUUCCUGGCUCCCAAUGCCCACCCCAAUUGUUUCCUAACUUAAUUGCACUAUAUUAUAAUCCUAAAAUAAUUUGUUUCAUUCACCUUGAGUCACUCCUUGCUUUGUACAUUGCUAGAGAAGGAUAUGGACUCUAAUUUAGUAAAGCAGUCAAGCACAUCCUUACAUUUACAUGGAAAUCCUGAGAACCUAACCAGAGACUGUUUUCUGUUUGUUUUGUUUUGUUCUGUUCCGUCUUUUAAUGAUCUGGAUCACUGAUUGAUGUAUUUGGAGAUAGAUUUCUCAUAGGAAUCCUGCUACCUGUUUACAAAAGAGGUAAUUAAAGUGCCCUACGCAGGGAGUAAAGGCACCCUUGAUGCUGGCACUGAGCAUCGCACACAGAACUCCUUCCACCACACAGGCACACACGCACAGAGUCUUGCACAUAUGUUCUUAAUGAUGAUAAAAAGGAGAAAAUAGGCCCACAUGCUUUUUGGUUAUGUAAGCUUUCCAAGAAUUAUGCCUUUUAGACCAAAACCGGGAAGAGAAUGUUUCUGAGGUUCCUUAAUUUCCUCCUCUGCUUGAUCUGAUCUUCAGCUACCACUGCCCUUCCCACUGUCAUUUCACCUUGGAGAAAUACAGUGUCUCAGUGGACUCUUUAAAUGUAAUCCACACUAUAAAAUCAGCCUCAUUCAGAACAGAAACAGCUAUGAGUAAUCAGCACAGCUUUCAGUGUCAUGUAUUUGCAGUAAACUCUUCAUGGUCAGAAUAAAGCAACUCUGUCUCCGCAAAUGCUUUCUUGAGAAGAAAUAAAGUAGGUCUGGAUUCAGCAAA